AGGACUCCACGCCUCCACUGCGCCGCCAGCUCUCCCCCGGCACCACACCCGGCAGGAGGUGGGUGCUGGUGGAAACCGAGGCGACCAGCCCCCCUCCCCAGCCAAACCAUGAUCGCAUCCUCAAGCGAAUCUACAAGCUCGCAGAGCUGGAGGUAGUCGAUGUCGAGGAAGGCGAACUUUUGGAGCAGGGGCACUAUCUUAGAAAAAAAGGAAAAUUCUCUUGCGACAAGUCCUCGUUUAUGCUCCUUAAGGACGACUAUUGUAGCUUCAGGAGUAGGGAGCUUUCCUGAACUUGGUAGCACAGGAAGGAAAACUUGGUAGUACAGGAGGGAGCUUUCCUGAACCAUCCUCUCUUCUAAGUGUUUCAGUUUGUGUUGUCUGCGGCACAGACACUCAUUUCAAAGGCAGGGCUGCGUCAACGAUGCGCGUCAAUAAUUAGGCUGAUGGAAAUAGCAAACUUUGGGCGCGGUCUCCUCGAUCCUGUCAUGCUCAACUUUUUCACCCUCUAAACCUGUGUCCAGCUCAGUGCCAAGGCGAAGGGAAGCCCCAAUCACCAAGAUGGCGGAGAAGCUUCUGUAUUGUCGUCUUGGCAUCACAGAAGAGGGUGUUCCAAGGCCGUCUGCCAUCCAUUGCCAUCGAUGCAUUGCGCGCCCUCUUCCAACUUGACUGUGACCUCUCCACAGCCAUCGAAGAUGCUCCUGUUGCCCAUGGAGUGAUCUGGACCGCCAAAGACACACAGAUGGUUGUGGUUUCCGCUGUGGUCGAGUUCCCUGAUCGUAGCUUAGUCUUUUGUGAGAUGUGUGUUGAGAUGCUGCUUGCUGUACCAACCAGCAGUCUGCUUCUCGUGAUGUUCCCCUUGCUGUACCAACCAGCAGUUUGUUUACCCUGUUGGGCAACUGUAGGGGUUGUGAAAUGUAGGUAACGUCUCUAAAUGAUGACUAUGAUGUUUA